CAAUAGCGUAUAUUAAAGUUGUUGCAGUUAAAAAGCUCGUAGUUGAAUUUUUGCUUGCCGCCGAUGUCGGAACUUCCGUACGUUCGGCGGCGUGCAUCCUUGGGUGGAACCUGUGUGGCAUUAGGUUGUCGUGCAGGGGAUGCUCAUCGUUUACUGUGAAAAAAUUAGAGUGUUCAAAGCAGGCUUAUGCCGUUGAAUAUAUUAGCAUGGAAUAAUAAGAUAGGACCUUGGUACUAUUUUGUUGGUUUGCGCACCGAGGUAAUGAUUAACAGGGACAGUUGGGGGUAUUCGUAUUCCAUUGUCAGAGGUGAAAUUCUUGGAUUUCUGGAAGACGAACUACUGCGAAANGANNNACCAAGGAUGUUUUCAUNAA
rnacentral:rRNA from 1 species